rnacentral:lncRNA from 1 species
CGGGAAGAAGUCGGAAUGAGAGCCUGAGGGCAGACCAGAAAAAGGCCCUGGGGGCCAGAGGCUGGGCCGAGGUAUCAAGAAUGCUCACCUGUCCAAAGCUGGGAGUGGGGUCUCCGGCCCAAGUGGCUUAUCUCUGGGCUCUGCACAGACCUGGACAGGGAGGCAACUGACCAGGAGGCUGGCCUGCUAGUCCCACCCCUGGAUACAGUAACCAUGACCCUUACCUGGCUCCCCAUAGGCUGGCCUUUGGAUCCCAGCCCUUAAAUCCAUGUAUUGUUUCCUCACACAUUCCCUCCCCCUGACCUGGCACAGGACAUUGCUUCCGGACAGGGAACGGAGAUAGGCCAGCUGGGCCACAGAGGCAAGGCAGCAGUCCCACCUGGCCAAGAACCCAGGCUUGCACAAGCAAUGCCUUUCCGGGCAGUGGAGAGCCCCCAGCCAGUCUGCUGUCACCUCCUUGCAAAGCAGUAGCUGAGUGAGGGAGCUCCUUUUGCUUUUGGAAGGGACGAGGCUGAGACUGAGACUUCUCGGGGCCUGCGGAUGCGGAUGUCCUGCCAGCAACCCUCCCUGAUGGCAGAAAACAUGUCACACGAUAACCGCCCACGGUCAGAAUCGCAAAUCCGUGGGGAUCGUCCACCAGCACCACCUGGCCUCACACAUGAGUAAACUGAAGCGCAGGGAUUGAGCCGGGGAAGGGGCCGCAGCACUGGGCGCCCCACAGCCACAAACUCCCCAUGGGACUUGGCACACGCCAUUGUCUGGUCUGCCUCAGUUUUCUCAGAUAAAGAGUCAUUUUGAUAUGAAUUAAGAUCAACGCCUUACGUUCUGGGAUCGAGCCCCACAUCAGGUUCCUCCACUGGGAGCCUGCUUCUUCCCCUCCCACUUCCCCUGCCUGUGUUCCCUCUCUCGCUGGCUGUCUCUCUCUCUGUCAAAUAAAUAAAUAAAAUCUUAAAAAAAA